rnacentral:tRNA from 1 species
GCGGGUGUGGCGGAAUGGUAGACGCCGGGGACUUAAAAUCCCCUGAUCUUCGAUCGUGUGGGUUCGAGUCCCACCACCCGCA